rnacentral:tRNA from 1 species
UCCUUGUAAGUAUUUAAAGUACCUUUGACUUCCAAUCAAAAAGCCUUAGUUAAAAUCUAAGACAAGGAA